GCCAAACUAGGAGACGCACAAAUCCGUCGUGCAGCACACAAUCUCACUUCCGUCACACUGUCUCCUUCCUCGCAUCUCUCACCAUGACCCGCCGCCAAUCACCUUGGAGGGCGACCUUGGAGGGCCUCGCGCGUCUGCAUCGAGAAGAUCCACCGGCAGCCUUCGUCAAGCUCGCCAGCGCCGCCACAGCGCUUCUGCGUUUCCGCCCACGAUCUGAUGGGUGGGUUGAUGGGCUCCUACGCGACGAUGACAGCCGUAAGGUCCGCGACGACGAACUUCUCCAUGCAAUGCCCCCUCUUCCCCGGCAAAAUACCCUCACCGCAGAUGUCCACAAGAUCUCCUGCUCUCCUUCAGCGCAUUUGGUUGGAGGAGUUGGAUCUUGGGAAUGGGAGUUCGGGAAUGUGGGACGUCUGUUGAUUUGUUCGUGGACAUGAGACUUGAGGAGGGAGGGGAAAGAUGAAUUCAGGGGUCAACUCCGUGAUAUCUCUGCCCUGUUGGAACUAGGUAAUUCGAUUGGGAAUUGGGAAUUGAGAAUUAGAAGGAAAUUGACUCAUGGCUUAACCGUCUACGACGCCUGGAGCUACGCCACCGCUGGACGAUCAAGAUGCGACCAGCUAUGGAGGCUGAGUCGACCUCAACAUGUAAUCAGUCCACGCAUAAGGUAGAACGAGAAGUCUCCACAACGUCCCAUCCUCCAGGGUCUCUCCCCAAACUGACUGGAGCCGCCGGCGCGAGAACUUCGUGGCUAGCAUCGGAAUACACGCAAUCGCCAAGCACAUGACGGACGCCAUAUUCUCCUUCAUCCGGAAUGACGUGGUCGUACAUGACUCCUUCGUGCAGUACAUCGACAUGCUCGUCUUAGAUUGUCGUUCAUGAGUUGUGGAUCUCCGUCAGGGACACGACCGCACAUAGCGCUGUGCGCGUCUAGACAUUCAAAUACAACGUAGUGGAGAGUAAGCACCAGAUGCUGGAAUAUAUGUCUUCUUCCUUUUAUAUUUAUGAGUUUACCUUCAGACAGAUUGUUCAAAGAUGUAGAAAUUUGGAGGUGUCUUUUUCUGUUUUGUGUUAGACAUCGGUAGAAAUUGGAAAUGGGUUCACUUUUUGUAAGCUAAAGUAGAAUACAAAUCAGAAUUGGAUUCACCUAUGUCUGUUGUUGCAGAAGAGCCGGAGAUGUGUUUGGCGUUAUGGAAUAGCAGAAAAUCAAUCAGAUGAUUGCUGAUGUGGACAAACACGGUAGUGGAUCAAUAGAUUAUGAGGAGUUUGAGCACAUGAUGACUGCUAAGAUUGGAGGGGGAUACAAAAGAUGAGCUAACAAAAGCAUUCGUUAUUACCGAGUAAGAUGAAAAUGUAAGAGUUUCAGUAUUUCUUCCUUCUAUGCAUCAUCUAAAAUAUUGAUGUGGCUGGCAUUUUUUUUAUAGAAUCAACAAUCAAAAUGUACCUUAGAAAAUUGAUUGACAUUUACUUUAUGUGUUCAAUUUAAUUGACAUUAAUUUUACUUCUAGCUGCUUAAUGUGAUUGGCAUUUGUUUUACUUCUAGACGUGUAAUGAUGUUGACCAAGUUCCUAAAUAUAAUUAAAUUUCAUUACUCUCUUCGAGUUACAGUGCAGAUCAUUCUAACAUCUUGACCUGUAACUGAUAUUACUACGUCCAUGAUCAAAUAUAAUACACAUGUAUACUUAAUUUCAGCUAAAGCAACACCUUUUGAAGAAACAGACUUUCAAAUUUUCCCUAGGAAAAUCUUGCAAGUCUUAAAUGAUACAUGUUACGUAUAUUUAUUGGUUUGGUGCUCAAUGACAAUAGUUAUGUUACAACUCUACCAUGUUUGAACACAUUGUCCUUUUGAAGAGUGUUAGCAUAACUCCAUGGGAAGAUAUCUGAUGCUGUUGUCAAAAAGUGAUAAUUUCACUCUCCAAGAGAUCCAAGAAAUGGUACAUGAGGCAGAUCAAAAUGGUUAGCCCUUUUCUCGCACUCUUUGCAUCUUUAAUGAGCCACCGCCAGGAAACAAAUUCUCCACCUAGCAGUAGGCAUAGAGCAGGGAGGCCACCGUCCAAUGUUCGGAGACAAUCAAGGUCGCCGCACGUAGGGGCGAUUUUAUCAGGAAGCAGCUGAUCUUUAUUCACUCUUUUGUCAUUUUCUCGUGCAACCUGCUGCGGCGCUGAACCAUGGCCAGAGAGGGAUACUCAUCUAUCGAAGUAAGGUCUAAGAAGACUACGAGAGCAUGACAGCUGUCAGGACCUAGGGGCAGCCCGAAUGACUUUUUGUUAAUUAACUUUUCAUACAUCUCUUCUAUGUGCUAUGUUCCAUGACUUUUUUCUUUCGAGGUAGUAGCACUAUUCAGAAAGUAUAGGACGCCUGAUUGAAAGAUAUACCUCAUGUUUUCAUACGGUAUCUGACAUAAGCAGUUUUAUCUUUCACAAUUCAGUUUUAGUUAUCUCUUACAGAGGAUUUCUGCCCUAAAAACUCUGGUGAUUAUUUUGUGGCUAUAUGUUGUUGGUGAGGGAGCUGUUCGUCGUGUGGGGCUACACACCGUGGUACUGGAGCUUGACUCUAGGUUUUGGCAAGCAGAAAGAAGAUAUUUAUAACCUUGGAGUUCAUCACUGGUGGUGAACUAUUUGAAAAAAUUGUUCACAUGGUCGGACAUCCAUCCAUGGGCAUUAUGGGGGUGACUCUGAACGUGAGGAGUGGCCUUGAGCUUGGCGAGCGCGUAGAUGUCGUGAUCUGGCAAGGAGUGCGGAAGAAAAGGAGAGGCAGGAGGAAGCCAAGAAGAGGAUUAGGAGGCUUUGUGGUUAACUUGUGUACUGCGCCGAGGCCAGGGCGGUGGCAAACGAUGGGUUGUGUGGUUGCUGUGGAGUAUCAAAAUCAUGACAAAACGUACUCUCCUCCAUCCAUAGAUGAGUACUGGGUAGUACUAAGAAUUAACAUGGUAGUACUAAGAAUUAAUCUCCUCUUAUUUAAAAUGAUUGUCUGCAUAGUAGGAGUUAGCUUUUGAGGUCAAUGUAUUUGCGAAUACUCCCUUGGUACCAUGCUAUUUUGUAAUUGAGUUUGGGCAUAUUUAGAGUACUGAUGUCAUGUGUUGUCCAAUUUUUUGCA